GUCUAUGGCCGUACUACCCGAUCUCGUCUGAUCUCAGAAGCUAAGCAGGGUCAGGUCUGGUUAGUACUUGGAUGAGAGACCGCCUGGGAACACUGGGUGCUGUAGGCU
rnacentral:rRNA from 1 species